UACAGAGGGUGCGAGCGUUGUCCGGAAUCACUGGGCGGAAAGGGCGCGUAGGCGGUGCCAGCAGUCGAUGGUGAAAGCCCGGGGCUCAACUCCGGAAUUGCCUUUAAAACUGCAUCGCUAGAAUUGUGGAGAGGUAAGUGGAAUUCCGAGUGUAGAGGUGAAAUUCGUAGAUAUUCGGAAGAACACCAGUGGCGAAGGCGACUUACUGGACACAUAUUGACGCUGAGGUGCGAAAGCGUGGGGAGCAAACAGG
rnacentral:rRNA from 1 species